GACGAACGCUGGCGGCGUGCUUAACACAUGCAAGUCGAACGGAAAGGCCCUGCUUUUGUGGGGUGCUCGAGUGGCGAACGGGUGAGUAACACGUGAGUAACCUGCCCUUGACUUUGGGAUAACUUCAGGAAACUGGGGCUAAUACCGGAUAGGAGCUCCUGCUGCAUGGCGGGGGUUGGAAAGUUUCGGCGGUUGGGGAUGGACUCGCGGCUUAUCAGCUUGUUGGUGGGGUAGUGGCUUACCAAGGCUUUGACGGGUAGCCGGCCUGAGAGGGUGACCGGCCACAUUGGGACUGAGAUACGGCCCAGACUCCUACGGGAGGCAGCAGUGGGGAAUAUUGCACAAUGGGCGGAAGCCUGAUGCAGCAACGCCGCGUGCGGGAUGACGGCCUUCGGGUUGUAAACCGCUUUCGCCUGUGACGAAGCGUGAGUGACGGUAAUGGGUAAAGAAGCACCGGCUAACUACGUGCCAGCAGCCGCGGUGAUACGUAGGGUGCGAGCGUUGUCCGGAUUUAUUGGGCGUAAAGGGCUCGUAGGUGGUUGAUCGCGUCGGAAGUGUAAUCUUGGGGCUUAACCCUGAGCGUGCUUUCGAUACGGGUUGACUUGAGGAAGGUAGGGGAGAAUGGAAUUCCUGGUGGAGCGGUGGAAUGCGCAGAUAUCAGGAGGAACACCAGUGGCGAAGGCGGUUCUCUGGGCCUUUCCUGACGCUGAGGAGCGAAAGCGUGGGGAGCGAACAGGCUUAGAUACCCUGGUAGUCCACGCUGUAAACGGUGGGUACUAGGUGUGGGGUCCAUUCCACGGGUUCCGUGCCGUAGCUAACGCUUUAAGUACCCCGCCUGGGGAGUACGGCCGCAAGGCCAAAACUCAAAGGAAUUGACGGGGCCCCGCACAAGCGGCGGAGCAUGCGGAUUAAUUCGAUGCAACGCGUAGAACCUUACCUGGGUUUGACAUGGAUCGGGAGCGCUCAGAGAUGGGUGUGCCUCUUUUGGGGUCGGUUCACAGGUGGUGCAUGGCUGUCGUCAGCUCGUGUCGUGAGAUGUUGGGUUAAGUCCCGCAACGAGCGCAACCCUUGUUCACUGUUGCCAGCACGUUAUGGUGGGGACUCAGUGGAGACCGCCGGGGUCAACUCGGAGGAAGGUGGGGAUGACGUCAAGUCAUCAUGCCCCUUAUGUCCAGGGCUUCACGCAUGCUACAAUGGCUGGUACAGAGAGUGGCGAGCCUGUGAGGGUGAGCGAAUCUCGGAAAGCCGGUCUCAGUUCGGAUUGGGGUCUGCAACUCGACCUCAUGAAGUCGGAGUCGCUAGUAAUCGCAGAUCAGCAACGCUGCGGUGAAUACGUUCCCGGG
rnacentral:rRNA from 1 species